rnacentral:rRNA from 1 species
GACGAACGCUGGCGGCGUGCUUAACACAUGCAAGUCGAGGGGGUUCGUGGGGCAACUCACGGAUCACCGGCGAACGGGUGCGUAACACGUGAGCGACCUGCCGUACCUGUGGGGGAUAGCCGGCCCAACGGCCGGGUAAUACCGCAUACGCUUGUCUUGGGGCAUCCUGGGACAAAGAAAGCUCUGGGGGCAACCCUGGGGCGCAGGACGAGGGGCUCGCGGCCUAUCAGCUAGUUGGCGGGGAACGCCCACCAAGGCGGUGACGGGUAGCUGGUCUGAGAGGAUGGCCAGCCACAUUGGGACUGAGAGACGGCCCAGACUCCUACGGGAGGCAGCAGUGGGGAAUCUUGCGCAAUGGCCUAACGGCUGACGCAGCGACGCCGCGUGUGGGAGAC